rnacentral:rRNA from 1 species
AUACGUAGGGGGCGAGCGUUGUCCGGAAUGAUUGGGCGUAAAGGGCGCGUAGGCGGCCCGGUAAGUCUGGAGUGAAAGUCCUGUUUUUAAGAUGGGAAUUGCUUUGGAUACUGUCGGGCUUGAGUGCCGGAGCGGCAAGUGGAAUUCCCAGUGUAGCGGUGAAAUGCGUAGAGAUUGGGAGGAACACCAGUGGCGAAGGCGACUUACUGGACUGUAACUGACGCUGAGGCGCGAAAGUGUGGGGAGCAAACGGGAUUAGAUACCCUGGUAGUCCACACUGUAAACGAUGAAUGCUAGGUGUAGGGGGUAUCGACCCCUUCUGUGCCGCAGUCAACACAAUAAGCAUUCCGCCUGGGGAGUACGGCCGCAAGGUUGAAACUCAAAUGAAUUGGCGGGG